AUUCGCUUCGUUCGACCCGGUUCGAUCUCACCAGCCGGUAUAAAAAUGAACCCGAUCCGGUUACCGUAGUAGAAGAGCUGGAUUCUGUUGUUGUAAUGAGAGAACGCGGCGCGGUUAGGGUUUCUAACGACGGAUAGUUGCGAGUAGGUGAAGCUGAGGGAGCUGUUGGCGACGGAGAAGGACGGGACCUUGACGUUUGUGACGGAUAUCUCCGGAUCUCUAGGUCUGAACACCGUGAGGUAGACGGUAACGGAGGCGAUGAUAAGGAAGACGAUGAAGAUGGCGGCGACGGCGCAUGAAGCGAGGUUUGUUUGGCUAGACGAAGAAGAAUAAGGCUUUGCCAUGCUGGAGAGAGGGAUGUUUGUUUGGUAGAGAUGUUUUAAGUGGUCUCUGGUAGGGAUAAGAGUUUUUAACUUUUUUAGGGAAAGCGAGCGGUGUAAAGCAAAAGGAUAUUUGUUUGGCCAUGGGGAUAACGUUGCAUUAAGGAAACUGAUGUGGCCUUAGUUAAGCAUGGGCAUCUUACUAAUUUUUCAUAUCGGAACCGAACCCAAACCGGAUGUAUGUCAUUUGAUAUGUGAAUAUGAUCACACUUCUAAUUUCCCAAGCAGAGACCAGUGGCGGAGCCAUGUUGUGUGAGAGGGAGGCAUUUGCCCCCAACAACUUUUUAAAAUUUCAUGUUAAUUAUUGAAUAAAUUUAAUAUGCCCCUAUUGUUUUUAGCAAAUAUACUUUUAAUCCAUUGACCAAUUUUACUUAUGCCCCCAACAAAUAAAUUAUCUGACUCCGCCCCUGUGUGCGCUCCAGAAAACCUUUGUAAUCUAGUCAUUUCUUUGUUAUGUUUAUGUGAUAUUUGUUGGUUUUUAACUUUGGCUACGAGGGAUAUUGUUCAUCUCACCAGCUUCUGGCGCCGGAAAAAAUAUCUUUACAGGCUUUGUAUAUGUCACUGUUUAAUUUUAUAAAAUUUCAUAAGAUAACAAAAAAAUAAAGAAGCAAGAUAUCUUUUUACUCAAUGCUCUAUAAAUAUAUAAAUACAAAUAAUAUAAAUAAAAAAAAACAUAAAAAAAAAAUUGUUCUUUAACGACUAUCUUUUAAACUCUUGUUUGUUUCUCCUCUCGUAAUGUUUUGCCAUUGAAUCUAAGCUUAAUUAUUGGAAAAAAAUGGUCAGGUUGUGAGGUUUACAACCUUGGAACGGGUAAUGGAACAUCGGUCCUAGAAAUGGUUGCUGCCUUUGAGAAGGCAUCCGGAAAGGUAAACCAUUGAUUGGUUUGUUUAUAUAGAACAAUGCUCUAACCAAAAAGAUCAUUGGUUUUAAUAUUUUUGAUUAUUUCCGAUUAGAAAAUCCCGUUGGUGAUGGCCGGACGACGUCCUGGAGACGCUGAGAUUGUUUACGCCUCAACAGAGGAAGCAGAACGCGAGCUUAAUUGGAAGUAAGUUCAUUUUUUUUGUUUUGUCAACAGAGUAGAUGAGCUGUAUUGAAAUGGAUUUUAGUAAAAUAAAAAUGCACACCCCCCACAUUUGAGUCUAAUUAUUUAGUUUUAUACUUGUUUGGUAUGGUAUGAAUGCAGGGCUAAGUAUGGGAUCGAAGAGAUGUGUACGGAUCUAUGGAACUGGGCCAGCAAUAAUCCUUAUGGCUACAACUCCUCCAAUGGCUCCUCUUAACUCUCGUUUUUUCUUUUUCUUGCAUUAUUUAUUUUUAUAAUCAUAUGAAAAAUGCUGAUCAAGAACCAAAAUUUUAGAAGCAAGUGGGGAUAUCACUAAUUUUGAUAAUAGCUACUCUUUGAAUCUUUGAUAUUUAAAUUUCAUUAUUUUUUAGUUCCCUGAAAGUCGUCUUUCAUUAUUCCAGUUUCUACACGUACUAUUACUGUAAACAUGUAAAAGGGGAUGAUGAAUCUCAUUAUAUCUUUAUCUUAUUAAGUAAUCGACACAUUUCGUUUUUCUUUUUCAUUAGUCCAAUUUGACACCGAAGUUAAACUCCAUUUAAGUUGUAAGUCAAAAGUAGCAAAAUCUAAAAGUACAAUCUCAUGUAAGUCAUAAGUAGCAAAAUCUUGAAAGUACAAACCCUCCCUCAUGUUACAUUUUGAAGUACAAAAUCUAAUGUAUUUAUAUUUGCAGCUUUCUAACUUCAGGAUUCAGACAAGAACCCAAGAAGGGUCGUUUUACAUGUGUUUUUAAAUAAACACUUUUACAUUGCUACAAAAGGGUUGGUAUCAACAACGGACGGCCACGAUCGAUCCAUCACUAGUAGAAAUUGCGAUCCUGCAACUUGAUUUUGCCACGAUUUGAUGCGUGAACAGACCAAGAACUCGAACCCGACCCGCCAUCUCCAGCUUCGACUCUAUCUCCACAGUAGACCCGACCCGACUAUCCGCCUCCACUAACCCGGUUCCAAAAUCAUCAGCGGAGAUUCGAGAAGCUGAAGCCGCUAGAGGAAAAGACUCCACGGAGAAACUAGCGGCCAUUCGCUUCGUUCGACCCGGUUCGAUCUCACCAGCCGGUAUAAAAAUGAACCCGAUCCGGUUACCGUAGUAGAAGAGCUGGAUUCUGUUGUUGUAAUGAGAGAACGCGGCGCGGUUAGGGUUUCUAACGACGGAUAGUUGCGAGUAGGUGAAGCUGAGGGAGCUGUUGGCGACGGAGAAGGACGGGACCUUGACGUUUGUGACGGAUAUCUCCGGAUCUCUAGGUCUGAACACCGUGAGGUAGACGGUAACGGAGGCGAUGAUAAGGAAGACGAUGAAGAUGGCGGCGACGGCGCAUGAAGCGAGGUUUGUUUGGCUAGACGAAGAAGAAUAAGGCUUUGCCAUGCUGGAGAGAGGGAUGUUUGUUUGGUAGAGAUGUUUUAAGUGGUCUCUGGUAGGGAUAAGAGUUUUUAACUUUUUUAGGGAAAGCGAGCGGUGUAAAGCAAAAGGA
rnacentral:lncRNA from 1 species